ACGAAAACAAAUAAUACAACUUGAACUUUGUAAAUACGAGACAGAAAGAAAUAAAGAUUUGUGAAUGUUACAAGUUAUUUUAAGUGUAAAAUUAUUUUGAAGUAAACAAACAUAUAAACAUGCUUAAAUCUUUAUUAUACUUAUUUCUACAUACAUUAAAUAUACACCAUUUUUAAAGUAAUCUUAAACGUAGGGGAAUUGGACAGGAAUUGAAUAAAUACUAAAAAAGGAUAACUGGAAAUGAUUGAGAAAAUUUGAUAAAAUAAUUAUUUAUUCUACUUUGGCUGGAAACUUGAAAGUGCAAUGUUUGUAUAUGGAAGAAAAAUACACUUUGAAUUGAGUCAUAUUUCCUGUGUUUGGGAGAUACCAAUUUAAUUAACAAUACUUUCUCACGAAGAACGAUGAUGAAUGGAAAGCACGGUGGCAAGAUCUUCUUGAAAGAUCAUAUGAUGAACAAAGAAAUUACGUAGUUUGGUCAUAAGACAUUUAAUUUUAGCUAGCUAACAUUAAAGCGGGGGAGUUAACAAAAACCACAAUGCAACACUGGUAAUUGAGUUUGGUAUUCUUGCUUGUUAAUUUGCUAAUUUUAAAAGAUAUAAUUACUCUUCAGUGAAUAUAUUUAGAAUUUUUUAUAUUAACUUGGAAAUUGGAUCCAACUGAACUGUCAAAAUAUGAACGGGAAACCAACCACUGUAUUAACUACUGAGAAUUUACUUGCAUACCACCACUAGUACCAUUCCAUUGCUUUCCUUUGUUCAUUCAUUUAGUCAUUCAUUUAUUUAUUCCUGACUUUCUUUCUACAGAAACAUGGUUACAAAAAAGUCUUUUAUUCAGUUUACAGCUUCAUUUUUUUAAAAGCAAAUCCACUUUUCAUGUCAGCCUUUAAAUUUUAGUUUGGCGACAAUUUUGAUUUCAAACUCGAAAUUCUUAAGGAAUGGCUAAGCGUACAUAUUUCAAGGUUUCAGCUUUGUACUAGCAGUUCUGCGUUUUAAUGUUCUUUUGUAGUUUGCUUGCCAGCCUGGUGAGUUGUUUAACGGUUGUUUAGUCUGUAGGGUAAAUCUCAGCCUCAGCCCUCACUACUAAGUUGCCAUAAGCUCGUGGAAUAUUAAAGAAAUUAAAAAAAUUAAUUUAUUAAUUAACAGUACGAUUAUCUACAAAGCAAUUAGGUGGGGCUUUAUAGUUAAGGAAAAAUAUAGUUAGAUAUCUCUAAGAUUUCCAUUUUAUUAGAUAAAUCAUUUUACUGUUUCCCACUCAUCGUUCUUCAGAUUGUUAUUUUAAAGAAUUUCGCUUGCAAGAACACUCUUUUAGAAUGAAAAAACUAAGCAUUUACACUCGAAUGAUCUUGUAUAAAAAAGAUGCUCGGGGCUAUUGCUUCUGGCUUCAUAAAGUUUCUUCGACCGCCAUCUUGAGUUUCUCAAUUAAAUUAACUUUUGAAGAAAGGAAGGAGAGGUGGAGGGGGUAAGUAUAUCUGUCUAAAUAAGGCAAGUCUUCAAUAUUUAGGAAAAACUGUUUCGAAAUAUUUUUUAUUUAUUUUAGAUUGUACUUUGUAGAAAUUACAAAGAAAUUAGCAGCCUUAAAUUAGAAAAACUCUCUUUUUUGUUAAGUUUCUUAUAAGGAAAAUAUCUCUUGUGUUUUGUUUCAAGUUCUUUAAACUUGGAUAACUUAGUGAAAAUUUUCUUAUAAGCCAGUUUCUUAUUUGAAAAAAAAAUUAAGUAGCUUGUUUGUCUUGAGAAAGUAAGUAGAAACUAGAACGAAAAAAAGAGAAGACCUAAAGGUAUACAAUUCGGCGUUGGGUGGAGAGAACAAGGAAGUGGUAAAAUUUGGUUCCAUCCACAAAUAAAUUAGUUUCUACCGUGUAAAAGAAUAGCGGUGUAUUAAAAAAAAGGGCAGAGAAAAGAGAACGACUCCAUUAUUAUUUAUCCCUUUUAUUUUUAAAAGACGCGAAUUUAAUUUCUUUGUAUCCUAUCAUAUAAUCAACACUUAAUCAAAUUAUAUCGAAACGGGCAGCGGUUACAGGCGCUUCGCUAAUCUUUUUCUCACAAUGUCUCGAAAUCACAUCUUUUGUUUUUGGUGUCGUACCAUUGUCUUGGUUUGGAAGGCGAUCUGAUUAAUUAUUUAUCAAAGCAGAAAACGUAAACAAGUGAUUAACU